rnacentral:other from 1 species
UACACCCUGCUAUGUUUGUGUCAGCCGUAUUAAGUUUUGAGCUAACACCAUUUAAAGGGGAGCCUGACUCUGUGUGCGGCGCAUAUGCCUUUCCUUGCAAAGGACAUGUAAAGUACACAGGAGGGCACCCACCUGUAGAGAGAGCAGUUCAAAACUCACGGUGAAUCACGGCAUGGUGGGGUUUCU